rnacentral:rRNA from 1 species
UACGGGGGGUGCAAGCGUUGUCCGGAAUCAUUGGGCGUAAAGAGUUCGUAGGCGGCACGUAAAGUCUGGUGUUAAAGGCAGAGGCUCAACUUCUGUACGGCACUGGAUACUUGCGAGCUAGAAUGCGGUAGAGGUAAAGGGAAUUCCUGGUGUAGCGGUGAAAUGCUUAGAUAUCAGGAGGAACACCAGUGGCGAAGGCGGCUUACUGGACUGUAACUGACGUUGAGGCUCGAAAGCGUGGGGAGCAAACAGG